UAAAAAUAUUAUUUUACCUGCUUUAUUUCUAACAGACUAUGGAAGGCCAAGGAGAAAAGCAGGGAGACCUAUUAGGAAGAAGUUAUAAUGAUUGAGGCAAGAGGAGAUGGUGGCUGGAAACUGGAUGGUUGCAAUGGAGGUGGAAAUGAGUAGUUACAUUAUGGAUAUUUUGAAGGUAGAGAUGAUCAUGACUUGCUGAUAAAAAAUGUCAGAAGAAAUGAGGAGUCAAGGAUAAGUUCAAAGAUGUGUCGUGAAUAAAUGGAAAAGAAGAACCAUCAUUCACUGAUAUGAGAAAGACCGGAGGAGAAAACUUUGCAAGAAAAUAUCAGUUCAAUUAUGGAGAUGUUAAGUUUGAGAAGCAUAUUAGAAAUCCAGGAGUGGGGGUGUUGUAUAGGCCUUGCACAUGCAAAGCUGGAGUUCAGGGCAGAAGAACUGAGCUGGAGAUACAACUUUGGGAAUCAUCACCACAGAGUAUUUAAAGCCACAGGUCUGCAUGAGACGACCAAGAACUUUGGGCAAAAGCCUGAAUACAAAUCAGAAAUCUGAGGAGAACCCAGCAAAAGAGACUGAGGAGGAGUCACCAGUAAGAGCAAGGAUUUGUUUCCUGUUUCACCAAGGAGGACCAUGGGUUACAGAGAUUCAAAAUGGUAUCAGGUGAAGACCUGUCCAAUUAGGCCACCUGAGGGGUAAAAAAGGACCUCAGCAGAAGAAGGCUGGGGAUAUCAAGUGACUGGGAACCAACUUAAGCAAGUGUUCAUUUAGAAUACAGAUACAUCCCCCUGGGAUAAGGAAUUGGACAAGAGAGGCCCAGUUGGACUCACUGAAAAGGCCCCAAGACUGUCCAUGACGGAAUCAGCCUGAAUAUCAGAACCAGACAGGCUUAGGACUUAGGUCUAGGCCAGUCCCUUUACCUCUUCUCCACUCUACCUCUGUUUGAUCUUAGAGAAACCUAAAACAGUGGCAAGUAAGGAGUUUGGAAGAGGGAGAAAAAUACAAGGUGGCGAGACCAAAAGAGCCAAGCUCAGUGCUCUUCUUUCUUUAUACAGGCACCUAACAAGGCCUGAGAUGGGAGAGAUGGAAGAAGAAUGUAACGUUCAAUCAAAUUUAGUACUUUGAUUAAUAUCUGGGGCUUGGUAUUCUAAUUAUAGAAUUGAAACUGUGUUUCUAGUUUUACGGGACAAGUUGUAUCCCUUCAAAAUUCGUAUGUUAAAGUCUGAACCCCCAGUUCCUCAAAAUGUGACUGUAUUUAAAGAUAAGUUCUUUAAAGAGGUGGUUAAGUUAAAAUGAGUUCUUUAGGGUGGGCCCUAACCCAAAGUGACUGAUGUCCUUAUGAGAAGAAGAAAUUUGGACAUGCAGAGACAGAUACCGGGCAUGGGUGUGCAUAGAGGAAAGGCCAUAUGAGGACACAGCAAGAAGGUGACCAUCUGCAAGCCAAGGAGGGAAGCCACAGAAGAAAGCAAACCUACUGAAACUUCACUUUGGACUUCUAGCCUCCAUUACUGUGAGAAAUAAAUUUCUGUUGUUUAAGCUA